UUCCCACGUCCGUUGGUCGUGCUUUCCCAAGUACUAAUGAAAAUGAGAGGGGGAUGACUGCAACAAGCCAGGGGAGGGACGAUACAAGACACGUCUGGAAGACAACCUGGGGGUUCACAGUCCGACACACACACCGACUUCUCCCACCCUCCCACGCUGUUCUUGGUCCCACUCCAAGUUCUGUGAGUGUUCAGCAGGAGAAACAUCCUGCCGCAGCCUGUGAGGUGAAUAAUAUUGACCAGGUGUUCUUGGCAGAGCCCCCCUGACCAGGACCGGCUCCAGGCAUAAGCGACACAAGUGGUUGCCUGGGGCCCCAGAAACCCCCCCACCCACCCAAAAAGUACUGUAUAAUUGCGGUACCCCAGACUCAGCCGGCCCUGUCCCUGACUUUGAGCUGUCCAUCCUGAAGGGAGCACCGAGCGGCUUCACUUUCCAGACGUCUCAUUAAUUAUGAAGGCAAACACACCGUCGGGGUUUGUUACUACUGUCUCAAGGUGAAUUUUUAACUGGCUAAGAAAUGGAAUAGCCCUCAAUACCUUUCUGACUCUCACAUACUGUUUUGUCUAUCAGUCUGAGAGACAUUAGUCAAUGUGAAAGGGAGUAGGAGUCACACCAGAGAUGUCUUUUCUCUGCUUGAAAAUGUGUGUGUGGGUUUUCACUGCAGAUGGUUUCCCAGUUAAUAUGGAUGCCUAACAGACGAUAGAUCUGAAGCAAAGAUCACACAUUGCAGCGCAAUCUGUUAGAUGGAAUAUUACCACGUUGAUUUUAAUCUGAUGAAUAAUAAAAUGAUUGAAAUAUUUGAAUAGAAAUGCAUGAAUGGAUUUUUACUGCAUUGUGUCCCCUUGGGGAACUUUGUCUAGAAUGUCAAUAAAUAUAA